rnacentral:rRNA from 1 species
UUUGGAUCGCAGUCUGCAACUUGUUUUGCGUGAAGCUGGAAUCGCUUGUAAUCGCGGAUCAGCAUGCCGCGGUGAAUACGUUCCCGGGCCUUGUACACACCGCCCGUCACACCACGAGAGUUUGUAACACCCGAAGUCGGUGAGGUAACCUUUUAGGAGCCAGCCGCCGAAGGUGGGACAGAUGAUUGGGGUGAAGUCGUAACA